rnacentral:rRNA from 1 species
GAUGAACGCUGGCGGCGUGCCUAAUACAUGCAAGUCGAGCGAACAGACGAGGAGCUUGCUCCUCUGACGUUAGCGGCGGACGGGUGAGUAACACGUGGAUAACCUACCUAUAAGACUGGGAUAACUUCGGGAAACCGGAGCUAAUACCGGAUAAUAUAUUGAACCGCAUGGUUCAAUAGUGAAAAACGGUUUUGCUGUCACUUAUAGAUGGAUCCGCGCCGCAUUAGCUAGUUGGUAAGGUAACGGCUUACCAAGGCAACGAUGCGUAGCCGACCUGAGAGGGUGAUCGGCCACACUGGAACUGAGACACGGUCCAGACUCCUACGGGAGGCAGCAGCAGGGAAUCUUCCGCAAUGGGCGAAAGCUUGACGGAGCAACGCCGCGUGAGUGAUGAAGGUCUUCGGAUCGUAAAACUCUGUUAUUAGGGAAGAACAAAUGUGUAAGUAACUAUGCACGUCUUGACGGUACCUAAUCAGAAAGCCACGGCUAACUACGUG